AUAAUUAAGGGGAGGAAAAGAAACCAACUCGGAUUCCCCUAGUAACGGCGAGUGAAGCGGGAAGAGCUCAUGUUGUAAAUCUCCAGCUUGCUGGCGAAUUGUAGUCUAAAGGUGCGUGCUCAGUCGUGGUCCCGGGCUAAGUCUGUUGGAAAACAGCAUCAUGGACGGUGACAAUCCGGUUCUUGCCUGGGGUCCCGCGGCGUACGAGCCGUUUCCGACGAGUCGUGUUGCUUGGGAUUGCAGCACUAAGUGGGUGGUAAAUUCCAUCUAAAGCUAAAUAUUGGUGGGAGACCGAUAGCGAACAAGUACCGUGAGGGAAAGAUGAAAAGACUUUUGAAAAGAGAGUAAAAUAGUACCUGAAACUGCUGAAAGGGAAGCGAUUGAAGUCAGUGUUGCUCCUGGUCUUUUUGCCGUCGCCCCCGUGGGGGUUGCGGCGUGGGGCCUGGAGCGUUUCAACAUGCGUUCUGUUCCGCGGGAAAUGUUCAGUGUGCUGGAACCUUCGGGGAAACGCACUGUUCUUGUCGUGGUUAGGACGGAGGACCUUUGCUCCUUUGACUGCGCGUUCCUCUCUCGGGUAUGCUGGUGUCUACUGCUUGCAGUUUUCAUUUUCAUGCUUGCGACUGUGCGUGUUAUUCAUGAGCGAACAUGAUGUUGAAGAAAUGGCUUUAAUUACCCCGU
rnacentral:rRNA from 1 species